AGAGUUUGAUCAUGGCUCAGGGCUAACGCUGGCGGCGUGUCUUAGCCAUGCAAGUCGAGCGGACUUAUGGGGUAACUUAUAAGUCAGCGGCGGACGGCGGAGUAACACGUAGCUAACCUACCCUCUGGACGGGGAUAACCUACCGAAAGGUGGGCUAAUACCCGAUGUAGUCAUCCUGUAUAGGGGUGAUGAAAGGUGGGCUUCUGUUUACGAGCUCAUGCUGGAGGAGGGGGCUGCGGCCUAUCAGGUAGUUGGUAGGGUAAUAGCCUACCAAGCCGAUGACGGGUAGCCGGCCUGAGAGGGUGACCGGCCCGAGAGGCACUGAGAUACGGGUCCCACUCCUACGGGAGGCAGCAGGCUAGAAAUUUGGGCAAUGGGGGAAACCCUGACCCAGUGACGCCGCGUGCAGGAAGGAGCCCUUCGGGGUGUAAACUGCUGUCGUGUAGGGAGAAGGGUACUAAGGUGAACAAUCUUAGUACUUGACGGUACUACAGGAGGAAGCCCAGGCUAACCUCGUGCCAGCAGCCGCGGUAAUACGGGGUGGGCGAGCGUUGCCCGGAAUUACUGGGUUUAAAGGGGGUGUAGGCGGUCUGGAUAGUCGGGUGUGUAAUGCAAUCGCUCAACGAUUGAGCUGCAUCUGAUACUUCCAGGCUAGAGGGCGGUAGAGGAGAGCGGAACUCCCGGUGUAGCGGUGAAAUGCGUAGAUAUCGGGAGGAACGCCGGUGGCGAAGGCGGCUCUCUGGGCCGUUCCUGACGCUGAGGCCCGAAAGCUGGGGGAGCGAAAGGGAUUAGAUACCCCUGUAGUCCCAGCCGUAAACGAUGGGCACUAGGUGUACCUUUUAACGGAGGUAUACCGUCGGGAAACCAAUAAGUGCCCCACCUGGGGAGUACGCCCGCAAGGGUGAAACUCAAAUGAAUUGACGG
rnacentral:rRNA from 1 species